AGCCAACCAGCGAGUGGCGAGGCGCUGUGUUGUGGGGUCCCGCAGGGCUGCCAAUAUCUGCAGAGGUUUACUGAUAUCAGAGCGCUGAGUUUCUAGACAAUAUUGAGAAAGGAGAGGCUGGAAUAUCAUUGUCGGUAUACACAGAACUUGCUGAUAUAGCGGUUGUUUUGCCUGGUAAUGUUCUAGUCGGCAGUGGACUUUAAGAUUCCUAGUUUUGUUGGUAACGCACUACCGGCAGACUUCCCACUCCAUACUUGUGCGCAUAUCUCGAAGGACAGAGACUCAGUGAAGAUGAGAGCGUUAUAAAUUUCCGUGUUGCCUCGUCGCCUUCGUGUGGUCACCCAGCGUCACCCACGCGAACUUAUUGGUGGUAACACGGAGAGCAAGUGGAAGAAACCUUGGGAGACUUCCAUGACUCAGGAACAAUCACACCUCACUGGGAGCCUUGUGACUGACAGGUGGUUCAGGUGAUGUCACAGAGAGCAAGUAGAAGAAAACCUGGGAGACUUGCUUAACUCAAGAGCAAGAGCCGCACCUCACCAGGGCUCUGCAAUGUGUGGCAGCGACUGCAGGAAUCAACACUUCGGUUUGUCAGCACACAGUUUCAGCAACCUUGUUCAUCAGACUGUUGGUGAAAGGUGAUCACUAUGAAAGAGGUCAAGACUCCACAGACCGACUGGGAGACAUGACGUCAGUGCCACCACGCAGGGAGUAAAACCAAGAGGAGGAAGAGGAGCAUUCAUGAGACAUCAGCUGGUCAGCAGUCCAUUCAGUUUGUGGCCCUGAUUUGUAAGUGCCAGGAAGACCAUGGUGAAGGCAGCCCACAAACCUUCCGUUGGACAUGAGUGGUGAACGGCAGUGAAAAUAUGGCAGUAUCUGAUUCUUUGCACCAAAACACAGUGUGCUUAUUAACAGAUUUAUUCACUGUUCACUCAUUUGCUCAUCUCUAAAGGAGUGAAGAGUGUGCACUGAAUUUCACAACAGGAAGUGAAGGAUGAAGCAUGAAGGUUUUAGGCCAAAAUGAACAGACAGCAAUCAGGAAUGACACGUCCAGCAAAACCGGCAACACAGCAGUGAGUGUGCAUGCUGACACACACACACACACACACACACACACACCCAGGCUUCCAGGUUGAUAAUCCAAAAGCCAGCAGAUGACAGCUUCCUUCCAGCACACACUUGUAUCGCCCAACUUGACCUGCCUGAAUACAAGCUGAUACAGUCCAUGCAGCAGAGUAAAGAGUGCAGCCUCUACAAGUGGUGGAGGGCAUGGACACUUGGAUAUGGAUGACACUGGUUUGGGUGCCAAAUAUUAAUAGUGCACCUACACAAUUACCACACUCGCUCCUCUCACCAGGCUUAACUAUAAAUAAUUAAAGGUAAAUAACAUCUGUCAUCUAUUAUCUAUUGUAUUCUAUAUUGCUGUUAAUGUUUCAUGUAUAAUGUCUUUGCUUUCAAAUGCAAGUCAAAAGGGUGAACCCCAUUUAUAGUACUAUUCACGUUUGGCAAAUUUCACUUUUGACAUUGGUUUGGCUACACUAAUUAAACUGCUAACAGUGAGGGACUACUGUAAAUGUAGUAAUAAUAAUAAUAAUAAUAAUAAUAAUAAUAAUAAUAAUAAUAAUAAUAAU